UCCCUUGUGGCUCAGAUGGUAAAGCGUCUGCCUACAAUGUAGGAGACCUGGGUUCAAUCCCUGGGUUGGGAA
rnacentral:tRNA from 1 species